ACUUAGUAAGCAGUAUUUUCUGCUUAAGCAGCUUUGAAAUUUGGCCCAGGUGAACAUGUUCAGUUUUCUUUUUCCAGUAUAUUCUUCACAUGUUUGGCUAAAAUGCACUUGUAUUGAGAUAUUAUAUUUGGACAAUAAUACUUUCAAACACGAAUAAGUCACCAUAAUCAAUAUACAGCUUCAUGAUUGUUGAGGACUGUUUAAAAUUCAAACACAUUUUGUUCCUGGUUUAUAUUUGGGGGCAGGAAAUGAUAGAACAUAAUGACACUAUUUCAAUCUUAAUUUAUUAUCAAGUAAAAACCACAAAGGAAACUUACUGGGUAAAUUGUUAAAUAUUUUGGGUUUGCACAUAUUCAAAUUUACUAGGGUGGGAUUUGAACCAUCGACCUCCAGAUUAAUGUACCGGCGCUCUACUGACUGAGCUUUGUUAGCCCCAUGUUGGCUGUCUCGUAAUGUUGUCAAUAUCUUUGUUGGGGUGCCCGUCAGAAGCCAUACAAUCUGUAACUGCUGUACAGCAAGGAAAGCAGCUGAGCUUGUGGAUUACUUGAUAUUUGAAAUGAAAAGUGAUCCCUUAAUCAUGAGGCUGCUGGUUUGAAUCCCGCUCUAGUCAAUUUGUUGAUUUACAUCCCCAAUUAACUGAAUUUAUUAUGUAUUCUCUUGUAUAUUUUGUUCUGGAUUUUUACAUUGCUAUAAACCAGCAUUGUGGUAUGUCAUUAAGUUAUACAUGUAUUUAUCUGCAAUAAUAUUUAAGAUAAAAAUUGGUUCAAAUUUUUUAAAAUAUUAAAGUAGUAUUGGGAAACUGCUCAGAGCUAGAUCAUUUGCAGCGAAAGAGAUUUCACAAGAUGUAAUUAUCCCAUUUCUAAAAGGAAAUGGCCUUGCCCUUUCAAAGAUGAAAUUCCAACCUUGGUCUAAUCCAUUUGUUUGUAUUCAGCUGUAGAAUCUGGUGUCCUGUCUUCUCUUAUAGUUAAUACUAGGGAUCUCCUGAUUCUGUUUUUACACAAGAAUUGAUUAAAGACAUUAGACACUGGUGGUAGUAAACUUAAAGUGUAAAUACACUGAAAGUUUCGCAUAAAAGGUACCCAAAAGAUUCCCAAUAUGUUACCACAAGGUUCCUAAAAUGUCCCAUGAGUAUCCUAUAAGGUUCCCAUGAGUUUCCUAUAAGGUUCCCAUGAGGUUCCUAUAAGGUUCCCAUGAGUUUCCUAUAAGGUUCCCAUGAGUUUCCUAAGGUUCCCAUGAGUAUUCUAUAAGGUUCCCAUAAGUUUCCUAUAAGGUUCCCAUGAGUUUCCUAUAAGGUUCCCAUGAGUUUCCUAUAAGGUUCCCAUGAGUUUCCUAUAAGGUUCCCAUGAGUUUCCUAUAAGGUUCCCAUGGGUUUCCUAUAAGGUUCCCAUGGGUAUCCUAUAAGGUUCCCAUGGGUAUCCUAUAAGGUUCCCAUGAGUUUCCUAUAAGGUUCCCAUGAGUUUCCUAUAAGGUUCCCAUGAGUUUCCUAAGGUUCCCAUGAGUUUCCUAUAAGGUUCCCAUGAGUUUCCUAUAAGGUUCCCAUGGGUUUCCUAUAAGGUUCCCAUGGGUAUCCUAUAAGGUUCCCAUGAGGUUCAUAUAAAGUUCACAUGAGGUUCCUAAAAGGUCCUCAUAAGGCUCUCAUAAGGUUCCUAAAAGAUUACCAAAAGGAGAAUGUAAUAUACUGCUCAUGCUCAGGAUUAUGCAAAUUAACCAGUAUGUCUGCUGCCACCUAGCGCCAUUGUUUGGAGUACAGGGCGCAAAACUUAACCUAUUCUGCAUCAGCCAUUUUGCCAACCGAUUUUUUCAGAUUCCACAAUUUUUUUCAGGAAUUAAUAAUAUUAAACAAUGGGACAACCAUUAAAAUAUGUUGAGCU